GCGAAUGCGACGUCAGCGGGAGAGCACUGCAUUGACAUUGCAGGGGUCACAAGUUCAAUCCUUGUCACGCCCACCA
rnacentral:tRNA from 1 species